CUUCACUACAACUUUGCAUUGAUUUUGAAUUUUUGAUGUGUAGGAUAGUUGGGAGACUUUGAAGAGGUGUCGCUAGGCAUCUUGGAGUCGUCGUUGAAAUACCAACCUUUAAACAUUUAGAAUCUAAUCCCUAACGGGAAACAGUGCAUGGUGGGUAGUUUGACUGGGGUGGUCGCCUCCUAAAAAGUAACGGAGGCUUGCAAAGGUUCCCUCAGUACGGUUGGUAAUCGUACAUAGAGCGCAUUAGUAUAAGGGAGCUUGACUGUGAGGCCAACAAGCCGAUCAGGAGCGAAAGCUGGCUAAAGUGAUCCGGCGAUUCUGUAUGGAAGGGUCGUCGCUCAAAGGAUAAAAGGUA
rnacentral:rRNA from 1 species